CAGGAAUGCAUGAUUUCAGCAGUACACAAAGGGAAACAUGACUCUCUAGCCUAAUUGCUUUGGCAUUUACUUCAGAGGUGGAAGACUUCAGUUCUGUCCUUUUUCCCAAGGCUUAUAAUAGAUUUUACAUUUAAGAAAAAUAUUUUCGUGGAGAAUGAAACAGCUUCAGUAAGAGAGGCAGAGGCUGUCCAGCUCAAGAUACUCCAUAUCAUCAUGAAUGGAGCAUUCUCUUGAGAAAAAGGGUUCUUGGCAUGGCAAUAAUUCCCCCUCUCCCUCCGUGUCAUUCAAGCUUGAACAUCAGGAAGACAGAAAUAUAAUGUGGAGCCAGAAGAAGAGCAGAUGAGAAAGAAUCUGGUACAAUAGUCUGUAUACAUCAGGACAUCGUGUGGGCAAACUGGGUCCCAGUCCCUCUAUGUUUUGUCUUUCACAUUUCACCAGCACUGAAUGUUUAUUCUGUGGAAAUAAUGCUGGGAACCAGACGAUUGCUCAGUUAAUGACUUUCCUCCUUGCCAAUUUGUAUUCUGCACAGUAGCCCCACUGCAACAGAAAGAGCAGAUGUGUUGAUUUGUUUGGGGUUUGGGCUUUUCUUUUGGUUAUUACAGAAAAGUUGCAGCAGGGAGGCAGAGUGGGCUGGAACUUGAGGCUCAAGGAGAAGAAAGGCAGAAGCAUACAGCAUAGAGCAUGAAAUGAGAAAAGCAGGAGGGAGAUAAGGGUGUUACCUGCCAUACCUGUUUAUCCUUACGUGGAGGGGCAACUGUUACAUGUGGAAGAAUGCCUUUGUGUAUGGAGGGAGGCAGUCUGGCACUGUGCGAUUUACUAAGCUGGAGCCACUGUAGCUGUCGAAAGGACAGGGAUUUCUUUUGCCCAAAACCAGCUUGGCAGAGAGAAAGUGGAUGAUUUCAUGACUUCAGGCUCCCAGUCUUGGAAGGGAGAGGUACAGCACAGCUUAUGACUUAUUCCUUGUGCUUCUGUGACUAGUGCUUUGAGGGAGCGUUCCUCAAAAGUUGAGAUGUAGCCAAAACUUAAUUCAGAUAAAAUGUUGAAUAUCUGUAACAUGGAAACCUUCAGUCAGACUGAGCUUAUACUUUUAUUAUAUCCCUAACUGUAGUACCACUUGAACAAGUAUAUAAAAUAUAAUGGCAAAACAGGUACUUAAAUAGAGGAUAGAGAUUAAAAAUCAUGAAUUACUGCAAUAAUCCAAAUGAUGAUUGAUCUCAAGCAGUGAUCACAUAGGUGCAGUUUAAAUAUUCUGUUCAACAAAAAAAUAAAAUGUUUUAUUCUUUGGC